UACGGAGGGGGCUGGCGUUGUUCGGAAUUACUGGGCGUAAAGCGCGCGUAGGCGGACCUGCAAGUCGGGGGUGAAAGCCCGAGGCUCAACCUCGGAACUGCCUUCGAUACUGCGGGUCUCGAGUCCGGGAGAGGUGAGUGGAAUUCCUAGUGUAGAGGUGAAAUUCGUAGAUAUUAGGAAGAACACCAGUGGCGAAGGCGGCUCAGCUGGCCCGGUACUGACGCUGAGGCGCGAAAGCGUGGGGAGCAAACAGG
rnacentral:rRNA from 1 species